AGUGAACGCUGGCGGUAGGCCUAACACAUGCAAGUCGAACGGCAGCACAGAGGAGCUUGCUCCUUGGGUGGCGAGUGGCGGACGGGUGAGGAAUACAUCGGAAUCUACUCUGUCGUGGGGGAUAACGUAGGGAAACUUACGCUAAUACCGCAUACGACCUACGGGUGAAAGCAGGGGACCUUCGGGCCUUGCGCGAUUGAAUGAGCCGAUGUCGGAUCAGCUAGUUGGCGGGGUAAAGGCCCACCAAGGCGACGAUCCGUAGCUGGUCUGAGAGGAUGAUAAGCCACACUGGAACUGAGACACGGUCCAGACUCCUACGGGAGGCAGCAGUGGGGAAUAUUGGACAAUGGGCGCAAGCCGGAUCCAGCCAUACCGCGUGGGUGAAGAAGGCCUUCGGGUUGUAAAGCCCUUUUGUUGGGAAAGAAAUCCAGCUGGCUAAUACCCGGUUGGGAUGACGGUACCCAAAGAAUAGGCACCGGCUAACUUCGUGCCAGCCGCCGCCGUAA
rnacentral:rRNA from 1 species